rnacentral:rRNA from 1 species
AUUGAACGCUGGCGGCAUGCUUUACACAUGCAAGUCGGACGGCAGCACAGAGAGGCUUGCUUCUUGGGUGGCGAGUGGCGAACGGGUGAGUAAUAUAUCGGAACGUACCGAGUAAUGGGGGAUAACUAAUCGAAAGAUUAGCUAAUACCGCAUAUUCUCUGAGGAGGAAAGCAGGGGACCUUCGGGCCUUGCGUUAUUCGAGCGGCCGAUAUCUGAUUAGCUAGUUGGUGGGGUAAAGGCCUACCAAGGCGACGAUCAGUAGCGGGUCUGAGAGGAUGAUCCGCCACACUGGGACUGAGACACGGCCCAGACUCCUACGGGAGGCAGCAGUGGGGAAUUUUGGACAAUGGGCGCAAGCCUGAUCCAGCCAUGCCGCGUGUCUGAAGAAGGCCUUCGGGUUGUAAAGGACUUUUGUCAGGGAAGAAAAGGCUGUUGCUAAUAUCGACAGCUGAUGACGGUACCUGAAGAAUAAGCACCGGCUAACUACGUGCCAGCAGCCGCGGUAAUACGUAGGGUGCGAGCGUUAAUCGGAAUUACUGGGCGUAAAGCGAGCGCAGACGGUUACUUAAGCAGGAUGUGAAAUCCCCGGGCUUAACCUGGGAACUGCGUUCUGAACUGGGUGACUAGAGUGUGUCAGAGGGAGGUAGAAUUCCACGUGUAGCAGUGAAAUGCGUAGAGAUGUGGAGGAAUACCGAUGGCGAAGGCAGCCUCCUGGGAUAACACUGACGUUCAUGCUCGAAAGCGUGGGUAGCAAACAGG